AGUAAAAAGUAAACUGGGCGCCCGCACACUUCUGCCAUGAUCCGCGCCGGCUCCUGUCACCCGCCCACUCUAAUUCCGGCAGCAUCUUUGGCUGAGGGGGUGGUCUGGCCUGCAGCAUCUAAGGACACUGCUCCUAUUACCCCUGCAUAUGGAACAAGGCAAAGAUAAAUCUGAAGUGGCAAAACAGAAUGCAGAAUACAAGAGGCUUAAAGAAAAUCAAGACUCAAGUCCCUGAGAUCUGUAGGUGGUGGAGAAUAUCUCAACAGUCAGUUAGAACAAUUCUUACAAAAAUAUAGAAUAGAGCAUCAAGUGACCAUUGCCCAUACUCCUGAGCAAAACCAUGUCUGUGAUCAAGCAAAUUGUACACUAGUGGAGACAGCAAGCAAGAUGCAUGCUAUAGGGUACAGGUCUAGACCAGCUGUUUAGGGUAGAAGCAGUGUCCAUAGCUGUUUAUCCCAAGAUCUCUUCUCCUACAGUUGCCUUAAAGGACAUAUCACCAAUUGAAUUAUUGUUAAAGAGAAAGUUCAGUGUAAAGCAUUUCAAAGUUUUUAGAAGUAUUGCCUUUGUCCAUACUGUAGACCAAAAGAAAGACGCAAGCUGGAUUAAAAAUAAGCAAGUGAAGUAUAGAUGUUACCUUCAAAGAAAUUAUACAAGUCUAAGAAAAGUUGGAAGCUGCUAUGCAGAUACAGUAUGUCUCACUGGACAUGCCAGCAGCUGAAGAUAUAUUUGAAUCAGAGACUAUCAGCAUGGAAGUUCAAACAUGGACGAGCUCUUCAACAAGAUCAAAUAUUAGCAAACCACCUCAGUGGUAUGAUGAAGAAUUUGCAAACAUUGCAGUCAGUGAGCAUCAAGAUUUCCAGAAACCAAAAUUGAAGUUUGAUUGGUGUGAAUGGAAAUCCAAGAUAGGCAAAGAGACUGCGCAAUGUUUUAAAAAAAAAAAUAUAUAAAAAUCAUCAAAAAUUGGGAUUGUGACAGCAGUCCAAAUUUCAAAAAUGUUGUUUUGGCUCAUACUUUUGGUAAAAUAACUUUUACCAAUGUAUUUUCCAACUGAAACAAUGGAGUAUUUUGGCACAGGAAAGUGGUGAGAGAUGAGCACAGCACGCUACAAGGUGGACAUCCCGGCGCAAAGAUGGUGGAAGAAGGGGAAAUGUGAUGUUCUAUCCUUUAUAUUUCCCUUGCUAAAUAAACCUUUUAGUCUUUUACAGUUUUUUUAAGCAUGCAAUGUUAGAGAAUAUAUUAGAUCAGAUGCAUACAAAAUUAUAUUGUGUUAAGUUAAAAUAAUUUUAUGUUGUGUAGAAAAAAAACAUUUACAAUA